GGAGUUGGCCAGACAGUCGCCGCUAGUGUGCUCGCAAAGGCCGCUAGGGGAGGAAAGUCCGGGCUCCAUAGGGCAGAGUGCCAGGUAACGCCUGGGCGGCGUAAGCCGACGGAAAGUGCAGCAGAGAGUAGACCGCCUAAGCCUUUCGGGGCCGGUAAGGGUGAAAGGGUGCGGUAAGAGCGCACCGCGGACGCGGCAACGCGGACGGCACGGCAAACCCCACCGGGAGCAAGACCGAAUAGGGGCGGCGCGCCCUUCGCGAGAAGGGCAGGCCGG
rnacentral:RNase_P_RNA from 1 species